CGGUGAACACCAGGAGCACAGGGUAUUAUUUCCCCUGUGGAGUUUACAUUCUCAUUGGGAGGAUGGAGAAAAGCCAGAUGAGUGCAGCACCAACUGUAACAGGACCAAGCUUGGAAGCAGAGAGACCACUUAGGAGACUCACAAAACCCAGGGCCCACGUCUUUGCGAAGUACCCAGCUCCACUGGGCCGGCUGGUCAGGGGAGCUUUCCUCCAUCCCUUCUGAGUGGGUCUGUCUUUCCCGGUCCAGAUUUCCUACCAUAAAACUUCAUUUCAGAAUAUACACUUGAGUAGCUUUAAAUAUAUUCAUGAAAUUGUAUAAUCAUCACUACUAUCUAAUCCCAGAACAUUUUAUCACUUCAAAAAGAAAUCCUAGCUGGGCAUCAUGGCACAUGCCCAGCACUUGGGAGGCCAAAGCAGGAUCGCCACAGGUUUGUGACUAGCCUGAACUACACAGAGAGACUGUGCCUCAUCUCCCCCCAUGCAGAAAAGAGAUCCUGUAGCCCUCGCUAACCAUCUCCUCUCCCACCACCCAGCAACCACUGAGCUAUUUUCUGUCUCUACAGACUGACCUAUUCUGGGUAUUUUAUUUAAAUGAAAUUAUGCAGUAUGUGACUUAUGCCUGGUUUCUUUCACUUAGUCCCUUUUCAAGGUUUGCCCAGACUGGAGCACACACAUUAUAUUUUAGGGUGAAUAUUACAUUGCACAGAUAUAUCACUUCUGUUAUCCAGUCACUGGCUGCUGCGCCGGUGGGCUAUUUCUGGUUUGGGCUAGUAUGGAUGAGGCAUCUGUAAGCAUUUGUGCACAAGUUUACGUAUGGACACAUACACUGAAUUCUUUGGGCUAAGUACCUAGGAGAGGAAUCAUGGGGUCGUGUGGUAUCCUUAUGUUGAGCUUUUGUGAAGAACUGAAAACUUCUCUGUAGCAUCUGCACAUUUCAAAUACCUACUCAUUUUCUUCUCUUCAUCCUCACUGGCCCUUACUUUCUUUCCUGUGUAAAAAGUCUAGCCAUCUUCGCAGGUGUGGAGUAGUAUCUCAUUGUGGUUUUGAUUUGCAUUUCUUUAAUGACUAAUGAUGGUGCUUCUUGGUCAUUUAAAGAAGUGCCUAUUCAAAUCCUUCGCUCAUUAAAAAAAUAGGUUAAACAAUAAAGAGGGGGUAAAGCUCAGCUGUAGAGCAUUUAUCUAGCCUGUGCGAAGCCAUCAGUUUGAUGACCAACACCAGGAGAGAGAGAG